CAAACCUCAAGUCUGGCUUUGACUUGGUGUUGGGGCACCAGUAGCAUUUUAGUGCUUAUGGGCUCUGAAAGUCAGUGGCGGACCCGCUAGGUCUCUGAGCGCAGUAGUCAUUUUCUCGCUCCUGGAGGUCUUGAGGGGAUUUUUAUUUCCAGCCAUCAAACCUUUCAUUUUUGAAAAAUCCAAAAA
rnacentral:misc_RNA from 1 species